rnacentral:rRNA from 1 species
AUGGUAAAUGCCUUGAAAGUAAACAACAUGGCAACAAGCUAUUUUGUGUUACUGUUUCUAUAUAUAUAUAUAUACUGGGGGGAUGUUGACAAAGAAUGCAUCCGUCCCUUCCUUUUAUAUGGGUGUAUGCUCAAGACAAGACAACAUAAAAAUGCCUUGGUCGAGGUCGGCAUCUCCGGCAAGGUCUCCACAGUAGGGAGGGCUCGACAAUCGCUCUCCAGUUAUUUCCCACGUAUCUCCUUCAGAUAUGAUCAAUUUGGCAUGAGCAUGCGUUCAGUCGGAAUGAGUAAGAGUCUAGAGCCUUAUAGGAUCCCUGCAUCAUGUAAAGAGGAGCUGAUGAUUUAG